AGCGUUUCGUUUUGUGUGGUGCACAAAGAAGCGUAACGACAGCACUGAAUGACGGUUAACGGAGCGCAAGCGACGUUCAACAUACAAAGUCAAGCAGUGGAGCGCUUUGGGGUGGGGUGACUGCGUACCUUUUGUAUAAUGGGUCAGCGACUUAUAUUCUGUAGCAAGGUUAACCGUAUAGGGGAGCCGUAGGGAAACCGAGUCUUAACCGGGCGUUAAGUUGCAGGGUAUAGACCCGAAACCCGGUGAUCUAGCCAUGGGCAGGUUGAAGGUUGGGUAACACUAACUGGAGGACCGAACCGACUAAUGUUGAAAAAUUAGCGGAUGACCUGUGGCUGGGGGUGAAAGGCCAAUCAAACCGGGAGAUAGCUGGUUCUCCCCGAAAGCUAUUUAGGUAGCGCCUCGUGAAUUCAUCUCCGGGGGUAGAGCACUGUUUCGGCUAGGGGGCCAUCCCGGCUUACCAACCCGAUGCAAACUGCGAAUACCGGAGAAUGUUAUCACGGGAGACACACGGCGGGUGCUAACGUCCGUCGUGAAGAGGGAAACAACCCAGACCGCCAGCUAAGGUCCCAAAGUCAUGGUUAAGUGGGAAACGAUGUGGGAAGGCCCAGACAGCCAGGAUGUUGGCUUAGAAGCAGCCAUCAUUUAAAGAAAGCGUAAUAGCUCACUGGUCGAGUCGGCCUGCGCGGAAGAUGUAACGGGGCUAAACCAU
rnacentral:rRNA from 1 species